CAAUAAACUGUGUAGGAGUUCAUGAUUGCAAUAGAAUAAAAUCGACCAAGCCUGAAGUCAGCAGCCCCCCUUCAAUGAAUGCAGCAGUGUGACAGCCAGCAAUCAAAAGUUACAAGAUAUCGAGGAAAUGCAGAUGGCAAUAAACUGUGUAGAAGUUCAUGAUUGCAAUAGAAUAAAAUCGACCAAGCCUGAAGUCAGCAGCCCCUUCAAUGAAUGCAGCAGUGUGACAGCCAACAAUCAAAAGUUACAAAAUAUCGAGGAAAUGCAGAAGGCAAAAAACUGCGUAGGAGAUCAUUAAUACAAAAGUAUU
rnacentral:lncRNA from 1 species